rnacentral:rRNA from 1 species
GACGAACGCUGGCGGCGUGCUUAACACAUGCAAGUCGAACGAAGUGGCGAACGGGUGAGUAAUACGUGGGUAACCUGCCCUCCUUUUUGGGAUAAGCCUUGGAAACGGGGUCUAAUACCGAAUAAAGGGGGAUGGGCUCGCGGCCUAUCAGCUUGUUGGUGGGGUGGUGGCCUACCAAGGCGGUGACGGGUAGCCGGCCUGAGAGGGUGCCCGGCAAAACUGGGACGUAGAUGCGGCCUAGAGUCCUACGUGAGGCGGCGGGGGGGGAUAUUGCACAAGGGGCGAAUGCCUGAUGCAGCGAUGCCGCGGGGGGGAUGAAGGCUUUCGGGUUGUAACCCUCUUUCGUUAUCAAACGGGUAGGUGGAGAAGAGGCGCCGGCUAACUACGUGCCAGCGGCCGCGGUAAUAC